UGGGGAAUAUUGCACAAUGGAGGGAACUCUGAUGCAGCGACGCCGCGUGAACGAAGAAGGCUUUCGAGUCGUAAAGUUCUUUUAUAUGGGAAGAUAAUGACGGUACCAUAAGAAAAAGCCCCGGCUAACUACGUGCCAGCAGCCGCGGUAAUACGCAGGGGGCUAGCGUUGUCCGGAAUCACUGGGCGUAAAGGGUUCGCAGGCGGAAAUGCAAGUCAGGUGUAAAAGGCAGUAGCUUAACUACUGUAAGCAUUUGAAACUGCAUAUCUUGAGAAGAGUAGAGGUAAGUGGGAUUUUUAGUGUAGCAGUGAAAUGCGUAGAUAUUAAAAAGGAUACCGGUGGCGAAGGCGACUUACUGGUCUCAUUGUGACGCUGAGGAACGAAAGCGUGGGUAGCAAACAGG
rnacentral:rRNA from 1 species